rnacentral:rRNA from 1 species
GACGAACGCUGGCGGCGUGCUUAACACAUGCAAGUCGAACGGAAAGGCCCGCUUUUGUGGGGUGCUCGAGUGGCGAACGGGUGAGUAACACGUGAGUAACCUGCCCUUGACUUUGGGAUAACUUCAGGAAACUGGGGCUAAUACCGGAUAGGAGCUCCUGCUGCAUGGUGGGGGUUGGAAAGUUUCGGCGGUUGGGGAUGGACUCGCGGCUUAUCAGCUUGUUGGUGGGGUAGUGGCUUACCAAGGCUUUGACGGGUAGCCGGCCUGAGAGGGUGACCGGCCACAUUGGGACUGAGAUACGGCCCAGACUCCUACGGGAGGCAGCAGUGGGGAAUAUUGCACAAUGGGCGGAAGCCUGAUGCAGCAACGCCGCGUGCGGGAUGACGGCCUUCGGGUUGUAAACCGCUUUCGCCUGUGACGAAGCGUGAGUGACGGUAAUGGGUAAAGAAGCACCGGCUAACUACGUG